rnacentral:misc_RNA from 1 species
UUAUUUGAUUUUCAAGUAUCAAGUUAACAGCAUCUAGCUCCCAUAUCGUUCUAUAUUUUACAUAGAUUUUUUAAGUUUUAUUUCACAAGGAAAAUGGUGUCCUUUGGCGGUGUGGCAAAACUUUUGAGUAGCUUCGAGUGCAGUGCCAGUACGUGGGUCAAGGCCGUGAAUCCCGGAUGGUACGAGGCUCGUGAGAUUCCGAAGACCAUCCUGAUCCAGAAAGUGCGACAAGUGCCGGAGAACACCAGGGUGAUUCGUCAGCGUCCCCAAACAGCAGAGCCGCCCAAGAAAGCCCCCAACCAGAGGCGCCAACUAAAUCUCUAAGCUCCAACGAGUUAGGGAUAUAAUCACUCAUUGAUUUAAAUGUUUUAAACGAAUGCUGAUUGUGUUGAGUUGUCUCGCUGCCGUCAUCGAUUUCAGCAUUUUGUCUGCUCCGCGACACGGCCACACUGAGUCGGUGCCGAGUUUUUGCUUCGCGAGCAGGUGGUGUUGUCCAAUCAGAAUAGCCGUCGACGGCACGAUUAACACAAAAAAAAAAGAAAAAAAAUUCCAAUA